UAUUGUUUCUCCAAAUCAAUGACAUUAGAAUCGUGGUUCCACACCCAGAAGACAUUACGGCUAACAUCUUCAAGUUCGAUAAUCCAACGGCGAAAAGGUCGAUCAACUCGAACGUUUUUUAAGAAUUCAACCUCUUCAUCCUUAUCGUCUUUAAUAGAAAACAAGGAAAAAACUUGCAUUGCACCUUCUUCUUUGUCGAGAUGAGCUUUGUAAAAGGAGUGAACUAUUUGAACGAGUACUUCCCUUACGACAAAAUCACAUGGCUGUUUCUUUGAAAGCAAAAGGGAAAUCAAUCGCUCGACAUUAUAAGUGGAUUGAGAUAAACAUUCCAAUCCGCGCUAGGAAAAACGUUAGCAAUUGUCAAAGGCAAUGAAGACAUAGGUCUAAAUGUAUAUCACAUGCAUACCUGAACAGUGCACAUGGCUUUAACGCAAAGUAAAAGUUGCUCCAGUAUAGAAUCGUGCAGUUCCUCUCUCCAUUCAAGGCGAGAGAUUUUGUCGAUUGUACAAAAUACUACACCGAAACCGCCGUUGUGUAUAAACUUCUCUACCCAUCUGUAUUGCAGUUAGUAUGAA